CUUACUUUGUGCAUAACACUAGAAGUGACUUUGCUGAACACAUUACUAGUUGUGGGUUUCUGUUGGUUUUUGGUAGUCGAAGCCAGCCCCAAGACGGAAAGCCUUGACAAGCACAACCAGUUGAGGGAAAUACACGGCUCUCCACCACUGACACUGGACGACAAGCUUACCCGCGAAUGAGCUGGUCGACAAAGCAGAACUGGAUCAUUAAAAAAAUGCUGGGGGCCAUUACGGUGAAAACUUGUGCUAUCGGUCUGAUGAUCCCGAGAAAUGAGUUCAGGAAUAGUACGAUGAAAUGAAAGAUUACGAUUUUAGCAAGCCUGGGUUUGACACGAAAACAGGCCAUUUUACCGCCUUGGUCUGGAAAAAAGCCAAAAAAAAGGGUCAUGGCAAAGCCAAAGACGGAAAAGGAGGCUUCUUCGUAGUAGCGCGAUAUUAUCCACCAGUUUAUAUGUAUGGGGAGUUAAAAAAAAAUGUUCCGAGGCCGAUCGAGAACUUCAACCUUACUUCAACUAUGUAGCCUUUAAAGACUUAUAUUUUAUUUGCAGUGGUGGAAAUCUUUUCUAACUCAUCUACCUCAAGUCGAUGCCAUUCUCGUCCUACUUGCAUUCUGCCUGCACUCCAGGAUUUAAUCCCCCUUGUGUUUUGCUUUCCUCGAGCCAUUUUAGGUCGUAAAUUUGUAGUUUGUUAAAAAUUGAUACAUAUAUUAAUAAAACUUAUUGGUCUUCUAAAAGUA